UGUGACAGUGGUGCUACAUCUGUUCUUCACUGAGCAUCAUUAUCUCUUUAUUCCUCCUCUCCUCUGUAGGAUAGUGUGUGUUAUUUUGAUUUAAAGGGUUUAUAUUUGUCAGAUAAUUGUAUGAAUAUCAAUUAGAACAAAGGGAAAGCUGCAGUUUUAAUUCCUAUUUUGCUUUGGGAUUAUAAUCUUCAUAAACUCUUCAGUAGAAGUUCUCAGGAAUUUGAUUGGCCACAGCUUUAAUCACUUCGUCAUCAUGAACAGUGAAGGAGGCGGUCCUUAUUCAGCAGCCGCCAUCACUGAACAACCUGUUACUUCCUAUCAAGCCUGUCCACAAUGUUGGUGCCCCCCGGAGGCAUGUGCACAGUGCUGUGUACACAUUUUGUGUGGGUGUCUGGGUCCUUUCUGACCACACCACAUCUCCUGCAGGUUAAAGAGAAGUUGGAGCUUCCGGAUGUUAACCUGGAUUAUGGGAUGUCGAGCGGCACUUCUGUGGAAGCUAAAGUCUCAGGAAUUCUAACAGACCUCCUCACUUCACUUCAGUGCAUCAGCAACCAGUAUUAAGAAGGGCAAGAUAUUGACACAUGACUGUCACUGUGAAACAACCUGAAUUAACUCCAACAAGGAUGGAGUGUCUGUCAUUUUCACAGAAAUUGGUCCAUCAUUGUAACAGAUCAGAUGAUCAAGAUCUAAGAUCUAAAAAUACAAAAAAUAAAAAUGAAA